rnacentral:rRNA from 1 species
UACGUAGGUGGCAAGCGUUGUCCGGAUUUAUUGGGUUUAAAGGGUGCGUAGGCGGCUUUGUAAGUCAGUGGUGAAAUAUGGCAGCUCAACUGUCAGGGUGCCAUUGAUACUGCGGAGCUUGAGUACAGAUGAGGUAGGCGGAAUUGACGGUGUAGCGGUGAAAUGCUUAGAUAUCGUCAAGAACACCGAUAGCGAAGGCAGCUUACUGGGCUGUAACUGACGCUGAGGCACGAAAAGUGUGGGGGAUCAAA